UCGUGCUAGGCGGGAAGCUAGCGGUGUCCUGUAACCUGCAAUCCGCUCAGCAGGGCUGAAUUCCCUCCUGAGGAGUCCCGAACCGCCGAUUCGACGGAAGGGGGAACCCAGGACCUGAACCCCGUGCGGUUCCCGUCUCCGAAUUCCGCCAGGCCUGGAAGGGAGCAACGGUAAGGGGAAAAGGGCCGACCCGGGUUCCUUCGGGCCCUGCCUUCUUCCCGGCGAGCCGGCGUUUCCCUUCGAAGGAGGGUGCGCGG
rnacentral:SRP_RNA from 1 species